rnacentral:rRNA from 1 species
UACGGAGGGGCUAGCGUUGUUCGGAAUUACUGGGCGUAAAGCGUACGUAGGCGGCUUUGUAAGUUAGAGGUGAAAGCCUGGUGCUCAACACCAGAACUGCCUUUAAGACUGCAUCGCUUGAACGUCGGAGAGGUGAGUGGAAUUCCGAGUGUAGAGGUGAAAUUCGUAGAUAUUCGGAAGAACACCAGUGGCGAAGGCGGCUCACUGGACGACUGUUGACGCUGAGGUACGAAAGCGUGGGAGCAAACAGG